GUCGAGAAUCUUCCGCAAUGCGCGAAAGCGUGACGGAGCGACACCGCGUGAUGGAUGAAGUCCUUCGGGGCGUAAACAUCUUUUAUAAAGGAGGAAAUUUUUGACGUUACUUUAUGAAUAAGGGGCUCCCAAUCUCGUGCCAGCAGGAGCGGUAAUACGAGAGCCUCAAGCGUUAUCCGGAAUCAUUGGGCGUAAAGGGUGCGUAGGUGGUUUGAUUAGUCUCCCGUUAAAACUUCGAGCUUAACUCGAAAAGAGCGGGGGAAACGGUCAAACUAGAGUAUGUGAGAGGUGUGUGGAACUCAUGGUGUAGGGGUGAAAUCCGUUGAUAUCAUGGGGAACACCAAAAGCGAAGGCAGCACACUGGCACAUCACUGACACUGAGGCACGAAACCUAAGGUAGCGAAUGGGAUUAGAUACCCGUGUAGUCC
rnacentral:rRNA from 1 species